rnacentral:rRNA from 1 species
GACGAACGCUGGCGGCAUGCCUAACACAUGCAAGUCGAGCGAGCAGAUCCCUUCGGGGUGAAGCUAGGGGCGGACGGGCGAGUAACAUGUGGGCAACCUGCCUCAUAGAGGGGAAUAGCCUUGCGAAAGGAAGAUUAAUACCGCAUAAGUUUGUUGCUUCCCAUGAAGCAGAAACUAAAAGUGCAAUCCGCUAUGAGACUGGACCGCGGCGCAUUAGCUACUUGGUGAGGUAACGGCUCACAAAGGCGACGAUGCGUAGCAGAGCUGAGCGGGUGAUUGGCCACAUUGGGACUGAGACACGGCCCUGACUCCUACGGGAGGGAGCAGUGGGGAAUAUUGCACAAUGGGGGAAACCCUGAUGCAGCAAUGCCGCGUGAGUGAUGUCGGCCUUCGGGUUGUAAAGCUCUGUCUUCCGGGACGAUAAUGACGGUACCCGAGGAGGAAGCCACGGCGAACUACGUGCCAGCAGCAGCCGUAA